rnacentral:rRNA from 1 species
CUGGCGGCGUGCUUAACACAUGCAAGUCGCGCGUGAAGGACUUCGGUCCGAGUAAAGCGGCGCACGGGUGAGUAACGCGUGGAUGAUCUACCCAUGAGUUAGGAAUAACGGCUGGAAACGGUCGCUAAUACCAAAUACGCUCCGAUUUCAACUUCGGGGGAAAGGUGGCCUCUGCUUGCAAGCUACUGCUCAUGGAUGAGUCCGCGUCCCAUUAGCUAGUUGGUGGGGUAACGGCCCACCAAGGCGACGAUGGGUAGCCGGUCUGAGAGGAUGACCGGCCACACUGGGACUGGAACACGGCCCAGACUCCUACGGGAGGCAGCAGUGGGGAAUAUUGCGCAAUGGGCGAAAGCCUGACGCAGCGACGCCGCGUGAGGGAUGAAAGGUCCUCGGAUCGUAAACCUCUGUCAGGAGGGAAGAACCGCCACGGUGCUAAUCAGCCGUGGUCUGACGGUACCUCCAAAGGAAGCACCGGCUAACUCCGUGCCAGCAGCUGC